GACAUAGGUCGCAAACGUUAUCCGGAAUUAUUGGGCGUAAAGGAUGCGUAGAUGGUUCAGUAAGUUACUGGUGGGAAAUCGAGGCUCAACCUCGUGGAAGUCAGUAAUACUGUUGAACUUGAGUGCAGGAGAGGUUAACGGAACUUUAUGUGGAGCGGUAAAAUGCGUAGAUAUAUGAAAGAACAUCAAUAUGGCGAAAGGCAGUUAACUUAUUCUGUUACUGACAUUGGAGGCAUGAAAGCGUGGGGAGCAAAACGG
rnacentral:rRNA from 1 species